rnacentral:rRNA from 1 species
UACGAGGGGCUAGCGUUGCUCGGAAUCACUGGGCGUAAAGCGCACGUAGGCGGAUCUUUAAGUCAGGGGUGAAAUCCCAAGGCUCAACCUUGGAACUGCCUUUGAUACUGGGGAUCUCGAGUCCGGAAGAGGUUGGUGGAACUGCGAGUGUAGAGGUGAAAUUCGUAGAUAUUCGCAAGAACACCAGUGGCGAAGGCGGCCAACUGGUCCGGAA